rnacentral:rRNA from 1 species
GACGAACGCUGGCGGCGUGCUUAAUACAUGCAAGUCGAACGGAAAGGCCCUGCUUUUGUGGGGUGCUCGAGUGGCGAACGGGUGAGUAACACGUGAGUAACCUGCCCUUGACUUUGGGAUAACUUCAGGAAACUGGGGCUAAUACCGGAUAGGAGCUCCUGCUGCAUGGUGGGGGUUGGAAAGUUUCGGCGGUUGGGGAUGGACUCGCGGCUUAUCAGCUUGUUGGUGGGGUAGUGGCUUACCAAGGCAUUGACGGGUAGCCGGCCUGAGAGGGUGACCGGCCACAUUGGGACUGAGAUACGGCCCAGACUCCUACGGGAGGCAGCAGUGGGGAAUAUUGCACAAUGGGCGGAAGCCUGAUGCAGCAACGCCGCGUGCGGGAUGACGGCCUUCGGGUUGUAAACCGCUUUCGCCUGUGACGAAGCGUGAGUGACGGUAAUGGGUAAAGAAGCACCGGCUAACUACGUG